AUUGAACGCUGGCGGCAGGCCUAACACAUGCAAGUCGAACGAGUGGCGGACGGGUGAGUAAUGUCUGGGAAACUGCCCAAUGGAGGGGGAUAACUACUCGAAACGGUAGCUAAUACCGCAUACCAUCAGAUGUGCCCAGAUGGGAUUAGCUAGUUGGUGGGGUAACGGCUCACCAAGGCGACGAUCCCUAGCUGGUCUGAGAGGAUGACCAGCCACACUGGAACUGAGACACGGUCCAGACUCCUACGGGAGGCAGCAGUGGGGAAUAUUGGACAAUGGGCGCAAGCCUGAUGCAGCCAUGCCGCGUGUAUGAAGAAGGCCUUCGGGUUGUAAAGUACUUUCAGCGGGGAGGCGUUACCCGCAGAAUAAGCACCGGCUAACUCCGUGCCAGCAGCCGCGGUAAUAC
rnacentral:rRNA from 1 species